CCUUAACCCAAAGGCAGGUAAACUUACGUAUGUCUGCUCUUUCUGUUUUCUUCCUUUCUUGCUGUGUUGGUAUUCUAAAAAAAGUUGCGGUGUAUGUGUUUGAAUCAGGCUUUGUGCUAUGGAUAGUAAUGCCUCUAGCAAGCUCAUAUCCCAUUACCUCUUUGGUCUUUUAGUUUGGUGGUCAAAAAUUGAGAUGACACCCAGUCUUGUGAGAUCAGCAUUACCACACAAGAAGAGCUGCAGACAACGCCAAUAAUAGAAGGAAUUUGGGAUGUGACAAUAAAGCUUAACUUGCCGUUCACCUUAUUAUUAUUUUUUAUAAUUGCUCUUGACGUCAGUGCACCUUCUCAUAUGUUAACAUCUUCUAUGUCAUCAUGGUGUACACACAUAUAUGAAGUGAAGCAAUAUUGUGGACAACUCAGGAAUGCAGGCAUUUACCAUUUGCAGUCAUGGAGUAUGCAUUACCUCGAUUUUAUGUUCUUAUUCAAAUAUCGUGUGUUGAUUUCUUGAUUAAAACGUCUCUGUGAAAGCUGAUUUUUGGAUUUGCUAAUUUAAGAAGCAGAUAAGUUUCCGCGAACAACACAUGUCACCGUUAAUGUAAUAUUAUACUGAGCACUAUUUCCUUCAAAACCUGAGUGAAAUGUACUAUUUCCAUGUAUCUAAAAUGAUCUUACAGUUCUGCUGACAAGAAAAUUUAUCAAUGUAUUACUGUUCCUACAUUUGUUCACCCUUGGUCUACAGGUUAAGAUGGCACCUGAAUAAGUACUCUUUCUGUACAGAGAAUGGCACUGUGCUAGCGCAAUUCAUCUUUGAUGUUCCUGGUAGAUGGAUCAUAUUUAGUCAUCACGCGUGCUAUCCUGAAGCUCCGAUUUUGAUGUGACAUUGCAAGAAGAUUGGUGUCGAGGCAAAUGUUCUUUCGGUGACAAUGCAAAAAGAUUGGUGUCAAUCUUAACUGCGCUUGGGAAAAAUUCAUCUCCAUGGUGAUGCUUAUAAGUGCCUUAGAUGUUUAUAUAUAUAUCGGAUCAGCUAAGGUAAUCUUAUUUUAGAAAUUGUUUUUCCACAUGAAUUUAAUCAAUUGAUGUUUGUGUGUUUAGUGGAAGGUUCAUGGUACUUGGUUUAGGGUUAGGUUUGUUUUUUUGGAAUAACAUCUGCUGAAACAGUUUGCUGCAAUAGUUAGAUCGUCUAUGAAUAUGAACCAAGGUAGUUAAUUUUUCAUUCCCCCUCCUCACUAAUUAUAGCAGUAUAAAUGUCAAUGGACGGAGUUCAGCUAGAAUCUUAGUGGAUGAUGACUUCUUUUCCUCAGAUUCAGCCGAUGUAUAUACAUCCUAAUAUGCCAACUGGUAAAAAAAGUAGUAAUAUUGAUUCUUCCGUAUCUGAGAUAAAUUUGCCCCGUUAGCGAUAAACCUAAAAAUAUCCAUCCUGCUGAGUGCGCUGAAUGCCUCAUAUGUACAUCACUGUGCUUCAUGACUCAUAUAUACUUGACAGAUGAACACACACAGAAAAGUUUCAGCUAUCAGUGUAGUCAUGUUGUACAAUAUACCGAGUAUUUUGUGGCUGAUUUGCAUGGGCCAAAAUGAUACUGAGCAUGAUGAAAUACAUAUUUUGUUAACUUUAUAUAGUUUGUUGCGAUGCGUGUACACCCUGGUUACAUAACCAUGAUUGGUUGAGUAAGCACAGCAAAUUGUAUGGCAUCGGCACCCCAUUUCAGUACGCCAUUGUCUUCUGAAUAAUGCUCUGUAGAUUUUUGCAAGCGUUUUCAUUAUUUGUCAUGCUAGAUAAUGGCACUGCUAUACUAUGCUGUUCGGAUAUGAUUUCUUUGUAUAUAGUGUUCACGGUAUAAUAUAUCUAUGCCUUGGAGCAAAGUCAAGCUAGGGAUCACAUACAUGUCAACGAUACAUAUCAACGAGGCUGCUCUUAUUAACUUGAGAAAGCCCAGGAAAUUUCUCCGGAGGAUACAACUAUUGCCAAGGUUCUAAAGUAUGGUUUACUUUUCUCCUAUUGCCGAGGUUCUGAAGUAUGGUUUACUUUUCUCCUGCAAAAACAAUAAUAAUUAUGCUGCUCUUACUCUCCUUCCCUGAAUUAUAUUGAGACCAGCUAAAGUAUAGGGAAUGCUAGCUGCCAUUUGAUUUGGUCUGAAUGCCUACAAUGGUGAACAUUUUUAUUUGUCCCUUCAUAAAAAGUUUCUAUUUGGGAAUGGCUGUUGUUCCAUUAUGUAUCUCGAAUUUCUCAGCGGUGCUAAUUGUACUUUCUGUUAUAACAAGGUCUGCUAUAGACCAGAAUCUUAGCCAAAUAUUCAUCAUUUUUUUUUCAAAAAAGAGCCAAACAUUCAUUAUGAGCAUAUGCAAA